AUGGCCACCGCCGUCGCCACAGCCACCUCACUGUUGCACGACCAGCGAACCUUCACUUUGCAGCAGGGUGAGUUGGAUGGGCGCUUUGCGGAUGCCGAAGAGAAACCAGCAGCAGCAUCCGAAGAGCCCGCAGAGGCGGAGGAGGGCGAGGAUGAGGACGAUGAUGAGGAUGAGGAGUAUUGGUCCUACCAUGACGUGGGCGAAGCCCUAGACUGGCUUGAUGCCACGGAGGGCCCGGAUGGCUCGACACGUAUUUCCUCAACAUUCUCGGCUGCCGGAAGCGCAGCUGCGGCGCGGAGGCCUAACGCGCACGGCGGCAUGCUCGCGCGCACACUCCAGCCACUCUCCAACCGCACACAGAAGCUUGCCUCGCACGUCCGCGCCGCUCCUUUGGAGGAGUGGGAAGGUAGAAUGAACGUGGGGAUGUCAAAUUCUGUGACGACUGCAAUCAGGGACAGCAUAAGAGAUACUGCAAUUGGGAAAACAAGGAACACUGGGAAGGCAGAUCGUGCUACAGUUGAACAGGCUAUUGACCCAAGGACCCGCAUGGUUUUGUUCAAAAUGUUAAUCCGUGGUGUUUUUAAUAACAUAAAUGGUUGCAUUUCUACCGGAAAAGAGGCAAAUGUAUAUCAUGCAACAAAGACAGAUGGCAGUGAGUUAGCAAUCAAAGUCUAUAAAACUUCAGUGCUUGUUUUUAAGGAUAGAGAUCGAUAUGUUCAAGGAGAUUAUCGUUUUAGACAUGGUUACUGCAAGCAUAAUCCUCGGAAAAUGGUAAAGACUUGGGCUGAAAAGGAAAUGCGAAAUCUUUUACGAGUUAGAGCAGAAGGAAUCCGAUGCCCGAAGCCGUUGCUCUUGAGGCUUCAUGUUUUGGUGAUGGAAUUUAUAGGAAAAGGAGGUUGGGCUGCUCCUCGACUUAAGGAUGCUGCUUUGUCGGAUGACAAAUUGCGUGAAACUUAUUUUGAGAUUGUUACAAUAAUGCGGACACUUUACCAAAAGUGCAAGCUUGUCCAUGGUGAUUUGAGUGAAUACAACAUUCUUUAUUUUGAGGGACACUUGUACAUCAUCGAUGUUUCACAGUCUGUCGACCUUGACCAUCCUUCAGCUUUGGAUUUCCUGAAGGAAGAUUGCUUGCAUGUUAAUGAUUUCUUUGAAAAACGUGGUGUUGCUGUCAUGACAGUAACAGAGCUAUUUAAUUUCGUUGUGGAUCAAAAUAUCGCUGAUGAAGAUGUUGAUGAUUACUUGGAGAAGGUUCAGCAAAAGAUUUAG
rnacentral:rRNA from 1 species